GACAGAGGGUGCAAACGUUGCUCGGAAUCACUGGGCGUAAAGGGCGUGUAGGCGGGAAGGAAAGUCAGAUGUGAAAUCCCUGGGCUCAACCCAGGAACUGCAUUUGAAACUCCCUUUCUUGAGUACCGGAGAGGAAAGUGGAAUUCCUGGUGUAGAGGUGAAAUUCGUAGAUAUCAGGAGGAACACCAGUGGCGAAGGCGGCUUUCUGGACGGUAACUGACGCUGAGAACGCGAAAGCGUGGGGAGCAAACAGG
rnacentral:rRNA from 1 species